rnacentral:rRNA from 1 species
GACAGAGGGUGCAACCGUUGCUCGGAAUCACUGGGCGUAAAGGGCGUGUAGGCGGGGAGGUAAGUCGGGCGUGAAAUCCCUGGGCUCAACCCAGGAACUGCACUCGAAACUACUUUUCUUGAGUGCCGGAGAGGAAAGCGGAAUUCCUGGUGUAGAGGUGAAAUUCGUAGAUAUCAGGAGGAACACCAGUGGCGAAGGCGGCUUUCUGGGCCUUACCUGACGCUGAGACGCGAAAGCGUGGGGAGCGAACCGG